rnacentral:rRNA from 1 species
UACAGAGGGUGCAAGCGUUAUCCGGAUUUACUGGGUUUAAAGGGUGCGUAGGCGGGUUGUUAAGUUCAGUGGUGAAAGAUUCGAGCUCAACUCGAGAACUGCCAUUGAUACUGACGAUCUUGAAUAUAGUUGAGGUGGGCGGAAUGUGUCAUGUAGCGGUGAAAUGCUUAGAUAUGACACAGAACACCGAUUGCGAAGGCAGCUUGCUAAACUAUUAUUGACGCUGAGGCACGAAAGCGUGGGUAGCGAACAGG